rnacentral:rRNA from 1 species
UACAGAGGGGGCAAGCGUUGUCCGGAUUCAUUGGGCGUAAAGGGUGCGUAGGUGGCGCCGUAAGUCGGGUGUGAAAUUUCGGAGCUUAACUCCGAAACUGCAUUCGAUACUGCGGUGCUUGAGGACUGGAGAGGAGACUGGAAUUCAUGGUGUAGCAGUGAAAUGCGUAGAGAUCAUGAGGAAGACCAGUGGCGAAGGCGGGUCUCUGGACAGUUCCUAACACUGAGGCACGAAGGCCAGGGGAGCAAACGGG